rnacentral:rRNA from 1 species
AUACGAAGGGGGCUAGCGUUGUUCGGAAUUACUGGGCGUAAAGCGCGCGUAGGCGGACUGAUCAGUUGGGGGUGAAAUCCCAGGGCUUAACCCUGGAACUGCCUCUAAUACUGCCAGUCUUGAGUUCGGGAGAGGUGAGUGGAAUUCCUAGUGUAGAGGUGAAAUUCGUAGAUAUUAGGAAGAACACCAGUGGCGAAGGCGGCUCACUGGCCCGAUACUGACGCUGAGGCGCGAAAGCGUGGGGAGCAAACAGGAUUAGAUACCCUAGUAGUCC